rnacentral:lncRNA from 1 species
UAAAACGGAAACCUCCCCGGACACCUGUGUUGAAUUGGACUUCUGCAAUAGGAAAGCACAUUCCCUUUGUGCCUUCUUCACCCAAACGCCCAGGCUGCUGCUCUCUGGCAGCAAAUCCCAUCCCAUUGCUCCUUGCAGCAGCCUCCAGGUACCUCCGGGUCGGGGUGCAGGUAGAGGGCUUGGGACAAAGCAGUGUUGGGGAGCCUUGGAGAUGGAGAACUGCCCUGCAGAGUGGAAGAGGCAUUGAUGGGCACCUCCAACAGCCUCAGCUCCUGGGGUUACUGCAGUGCCGGGCCAUGCAGAGCAGGUAGCAGAGGAGCACAGCGUGGAGUGGUGACCCAGGGUCUCUCACCGCCUCCCCUCACGGAUCAGCAGAUUCCCCCCACAUCUGCUGCAUGCCCAGGAAUGCUGCUUGGAGUUCUGCUACCGAGACCGUAAGGCAGCACUGGGGCUGCGCAGCGACUGCACACUUGUUUCCUAAGUGCUCCCUCUCCUGGGCUGUGGCCUCACCGUCCCAGAGAAAAGCCCAUUCUUUCAGGCAAAUCGGGGGUACUUCGGGUUGAGCAGCCUGCAGAACAACACUGGGACCUCCCCAUUGCUCCGGGCAGGCCCGGGUCCGCAGGGGAUUCACCAGCAGUGUUUUAUACCUGGGGAUUCUGCAGGCCAGAAGGGAAAGGCUGCGUCAGCUUUCCGUCCGCCUUCAGCUCCGGGGUCCUUGGGAGCACAGGGGAUUUAAAAAGGGAAAAAAUGUAGUUUCCUUCAAAGAGUGGAAAGAUGGGGGAUGAACCCGAGGGAUGAACAGAAAAGGUUUCUGCUGGGCUGCUGUGACUCAGAAAUGGCAUUUUCUAUAUUCUAAUAAGAGAUGUCAAGUCAUAGGUAAUUUAUUCAUGGCAAGCUGAUGCAGUUGCUAUGGAGAGCAUGAUAGGGAGAAACUCCUUUUUAAUGCAUAGUCUAUUGAGGAGGAAAGCAUCUGUCAAAGAUAAAACCUUGGUGAGAGGAUAAAAGCAGCAAACAGUGAUUAGGAGC